rnacentral:rRNA from 1 species
AUUGAACGCUGGCGGCAGGCUUAACACAUGCAAGUCGAGCGAGCGGCGGACGGGUGAGUAAUGUCUGGGAAACUGCCUGAUGGAGGGGGAUAACUACUGGAAACGGUAGCUAAUACCGCAUACCAUCAGAUGUGCCCAGAUGGGAUUAGAUAGUAGGUGGGGUAAUGGCUCACCUAGGCGACGAUCCCUAGCUGGUCUGAGAGGGUGGCCGGCCACAGGGGAACUGAGACCCGGUCCAGAGUCCUACGGGAGGCAGGAGUGGGGAAUAUUGGACAAUGGGCGCAAGGCGGAUGCCGCCAUGACGCGUGUGUGAAGGAGGCCUUCGGGUUGUAAAGGACUUUCAGCGAGGAGGCGUUACUCGCAGAAGAAGCACCGGCUAACUCCGUGCCAGCAGCCGCGGUAAUAC